CUGGCCUAGCCCCAGCUUCCUGAGGACAGAGGCAGAGCCUCAGAGGAGGACAGCUCCACAUCUGGGGUCCUGGGAGAUGAGGGCAUGGUCAAGAGGGAGAGGGUGGUCCUCUGGAGUGGGUGUGGGCGUUGGGUGGGACCCCUGGAGAUGAGAGGGUGUGGGCGGAUUCUUGGAGCAGAGGCCAAGGUAUGCUAGGUCUAAGCAGAAUGGGCAGAGUGACUCCAGCUGGGCAAGGGGUCUCAGUCUCCCCUCAAAGAGGAAAGAUGAGGGGCAGUGGAGCCGAUGGGGGUCGAGCCUGCACUCAGCCCUGGGUCCUCUUGGAACCGGGCUCGGAACUGAGCUAGGAAGGAGCACAGGCGGGUCUCCUGGACUCCUGUCUACCGAGCUGCACCCAGGACCAGAAGCAGGGCAUGGGCCCCUCCCCUGGCCAGGAUGCUGGGCUCCUUUGGCCACAAAGCAGGACAGGGGCCCAGAGAGCCCCCAACCCAGGAGACGUGAAGCUGGCAGCUGGUAAGAGCUCCAUCCAAGCAACCUCCCUGCCGUGGGCCCCUGUUCCUAGCUUGCUUGGCUGCCAGGCUGUGAGGACCCCCAACCUUGAGGCUCUGUCUGGGCCCUGGGGUUCCCCCAGGCUGCCCCCACCCAUUGGCAGGGAAGAAGCACCUGAGACCUCACAUGAGGUUGGGCAGGGUAGGCGGAGGGUUAACACGGGUGUAACCAGAGUCCACUGGACCAGAGCCACCUGCCUGGGCUUCUGACCCCCAAGUCCACAGGCCAGACACCCCUAGUUUCUUUCUGACCAAGGGGGCUUCUCUAGCCCACCUUCCUAACCUGCAGGAAGAGGGGGUCGGCCCCUACCUUGGGUGUGCCAGCCUCAGCGCCCCUCUCCCUGAUGAAGGCCAUCCUGCAAAGCCUUUGCCAGCGGACAGGCCUUGGAGCAGAGGCUCCCAGCGGGGAAGAAGGCGCAGGGGAGGGGGACAAUUCUUCCGGGGUCUCUAGCUCCCAAAGCCAGACUGAAGCCUAAGGCGCUGGCGCCACCACCUGGCUCUGCCCAGAACCACAAUGGCUGAGGGAUGGGUGUGAGGAUUCUGGGAGUCCGGGUGGGGUCCGGGUAGCCCAGAGCCCAGUUAAAUGUUGGCCCAGGGUGGUCUGGACCUAUUCAGCAAGAAGGGCCCAAACCAUCUUUUGUUUUGUUUUGUUUUGUUUUUUCCCAGGCAUAGAGUCUACAUGACCCCGAGAAUGAGGACAUAGUCCCCAUAGGACAGCAGCUUCAAAGUUUAGCCCGCAUCAAAACCGCCUGGCAGCCUUGUGGCUUUAACGUCCGCUCCCACAGUUUCUGACUCUGUGGGUGUGGGGAGGGACCUAGGAAUUUGCAUUUGUAACAAUGUCCAGGUGCGGCUGAUGCUGGCUGGUCUGGGGACCAUGCUCCAACAACCACUGCUUUAGCAUUUCUGUGGAUCUGGCCCGCUAUUACCUCUGUAGAGUAUGUCCUGUUAUUAUAUCUGGGGGCAAAAAGAAUUAGCGGAAGUACAGGUGCAUGAUCAGCCCAUCUCAGUCCGUGACCC
rnacentral:lncRNA from 1 species